CAAACAAACUCUUCAGCUUUAUAAUAUUAGUAUAUUAUAAAUGUCUUCAUUAAAGUAAAUAUAUUAUGUAAUUUUAACAGAGGGACUUAUAUUAGGCUGUCUUUACAUAACUAAAUUAUUAUUUUAUAGCUCUAAUGUAAACUUUCAUCAAUCAUUCCUCCCUCCAAUCCAAUGACAUAUAAAAACAUCUUAAAGAUGACCUAAACUCUAUGCCUAAACUGAACUGUCCCACCAAACUCAUUGAUAAGGGGGCGCUACCGUCGUUCAACUAUAUAGUUUCCAACAUGGCAAAAAAUCGGAACCAGCGAUCCGGUAUUGACGGUGGCGCCCCGCUGCCAAUGUCAAGGUUUUAUUUCUAUCAUAUUUUUUUUACCACCAAAACUGUCAGAUGCUAUUUUUCAAAUAGCCCUAUCCUACUAUUUGAUACAAAAUCUAACGAAAUGAAUACUUUACAUUUCUUGUGGGCUGCCCACAGGGAAGAAUUGCGGAGAAGGCGGAAAAUGCGAGAAUUAGCCAGAAUAUAUGAAGAAAAUUUUGAAGACAUGCCAGAGCUUCUGUUCAGGCAACGUUACAGGCUUAACAAAGGCCAAUUUCAGGAGCUUUGUCAUAUAUUGAAACAGGAAACCUCUUUGCGGGGAAAUACAAUAAUUUCUCUGGAAUCCAAGAUGAGCUGCCUGCAGGAUCUGUUGCAACAGCCACUUUUCUGGAGCAUUUUAACAAUUUAUUUGAUUUACUUAAUGCGCAUGCAUUCACCAGACUGGCAAGAAGGGAAGCAAUCAGUGUGUAUAAUAUUAAUUAAAAGAUUUUGUUUAAUAGAGAACAGAAGGUUCUCCACUGAAUCUGCCUAGUAAAGGCUGCCAAAAAAAAAUAAAAAUAUUAAAAAAUUCAUA